GUUGAGGGGUUCAGGAGUUAUGGAUCUUUGAAGUUUGGACCGACCGCACAGGUUUUCUAGCCGAAAAGAGUUCCAUAAGUUUUGGCCUUGCGGUCGGUCUCCGUUCGUGCAUUAAAACCCCACAAACCCCUUGCCAUCCACAGUCAUCCUGGUGUUCGCUGGAAUCCCUAUGCAGGCUUAAACAAACCUACCGAACGGCCGGUCGUUCGGUAGUUCCAGCACGAACUUACGAGCUCCUGGAGGUCUCAGCAGUGUUCGCCUGUUUGCGUAUCUGUUUUUAGUUCCAUGC